UUCGUUCAGCACGCGGGGCGUCCUGUGGCCGUGGGCCUGGUCUCCAGCCCAGAGGGGCGGAAUGCCCCGCCCCCAGUGUAAGACUGCACAGUAGCCUCCCAGUGCCGUCAGCUCAUAGGGCUCGCGAGUUUUUCUCGUGGGUGACAGACGUGCCCAUGGCCCUAAAAAGUCUGUCUAUACGGAUGGUUCCCAGCCGGAGAUGUGACUCAGAAGCACGAGUCUCGGUUUGAAAGAGUCCUUGGAACCUCUUUUCUCACUGCGCCUUUAGUAAACGUGGCGCGAACGAUUGCUCAGAGCCGAACGCGGCGCAGUGACCGCCAGGAGCGUUCCUGUCCAGGUCAGGACUGACGACGGGGCUGCGGUUUUCUUGCGCAUAGAUCUAUCGAUGUGCCGGGUAGAAAAGCGUUCAUCGAGGGCCUGACGCUCUCCAGCCUUUAGGCAAACUGGGGCUGCAAAGGCCCAGUCCUGGUCCUCAGUGCCGCGACAGGACGCGCUACCAGAGGCACCCGAUCCAGCUCUUUGACGGUGGGAAACUGGCUUUGGCCGCGUUACCCGGCCGACACCAGAAGCCGAUGGUUUGCUUGUUGUCCUAUUGAUAUACAUCAGAAGCAUCAUAAAGAUUGGGAAAUGCAUUUCUCUUUGUUUUCCACCAAACUUCUCCUAUGAAGAGGGGAUAUAAGCAAAUAAAAGAUAUGUUGGUACUAUUCACUCAUCAAAUAUCCAACUGCGAAAUAUUUAUUGAGCAUCUACCAUGGACUGGGCCCUAUGGUUCCAGAGGUCCUAAAAGCAGAAAGUUGCAAUUUGCUUCUCAUCUCAUUCCCUAUAUCAUUUUUGAA